rnacentral:rRNA from 1 species
AUGUCAUCUUCAAAACUCUCUGGAUUAUCUCUGCACUUCUGGAUCAGGUCUUCAUACUGCUUAUUGUUCUUCCUAAGUUUUUGUUUCACUGCAACGAGUGCCCUGGCGUUGCUGCUGCUCAUCUUCACCUUGGCUUCCUUGUUUGCAAGGGCCUCAGCAAGGAAGUCCUCCAGUAAUACAAUAGCUGUGAUGUACCUAUUUGGAAUUUUGGUAGAUUCGUUGACACGAACAACCUUCUCAAGCUGCUUAUUGAGCUUGUCAAAACUCUCUUGCAAGCUAAUACAGUCAUUGAUCUUCAUUGCAUUGCGCAUCUGGUCGGUAGUAGCUUUCAUCUCAUCAUUGCGCUUGUCCUUCAACGAGCGAAUCACACGAUGA